GGAAAAGUUAAGUGUAGGAACCGGGUCAGCGCGCAAGGCUCAGUAGGGCAGGCGGGGGGCCCCUUUCCUCGUCCGGGGAUUCGUCUCAGCAGGUCCCUGCAGUCUGUAGAGCAGCUGCACAGCUGCAGCGCCUGGAUGAGAUCGUGGAGCGGAGUGUAAGGCCGGAAAUGGAAUCCCUGUGGACCGGGUGGCCCAGGCUGGGGAGACGGGUACACUCCCCUGGCAAACCCGCUUCAGAUUUGUCGGUGUGACCUGCAAUGAGAAGAGGGGCAGAAUCAUGAAGUCAGGAAGAGCUGCUGAAGGGAGAGGGUCCCACCUCUGGAGCUUCGCCGUCGGCCCACCCCGCUCCCGCCCUCGCAAAUAGGGUCCAACGCGGAGGAGCCUCGGGAGGUGUCUCCGCUCCCCAAACUCUCCAAACCCAGAAGCCCCGGGAGGCCGGAGCUAGCCGAGAGGCUGCUGUCUUCCCCACCUCCGCCGUCGCCCAGCGGUGGCAGGCGCGCGUCUAGAAAGAGAUUGGUCGCCGCGAGAUGGGGACGCCACAGGCCUCACCCCCAGGAGGUGCGCUGGCCGGCCCGCCCCGCAGCGGGGCGCUGGUUCUGGUUCCCUCUCCAGGAUUUGGGGGGGAAACGUGGGUAGAGAGCGAGGGUCGAGAUGCCUAUCCCAAAGCUUGGAAACAGCGAGAACGUGUUAUUUCCGUGGUCUCCCAUGCACCCCGGUUUACGAGGCGUUCCUUGUAGGUCGGACGGGCAUCCCUGUCGCAGGGCGCCUGAGUGUGUCCUUUUCUCCGACUGACUCUCGGAGGCUUGGGGCUGCUGUUUCUGGGGAAGCCACUCCCGGGCUGAGGAUUUCCUUGAUGUGGAGCCCCGAGCUCGCGGGGACGGGGGCGAGGAGUCCACGGGACCCGCACUGAUGCAGGCGGGGAAGCAGCAGCCUCCCGCCAGCGGCUCAAGACGCCGCGCUCGACCUCUCUAGCCCAGUGCCGGACCCCGCCCAGCCAAGUUAUUGCGGGGUUGCGGGGCCGGGCGGGGGAGAGCAGGGCCGCCCGAGGGCAGAGCGCGCGCGCGGCCGCCGCCCCACGGGGUCCCGGGAGCCGGCGCCCGGAGCUGCGACUUACUCACCUCUCCCUUCUGCUUCUUUUCAUCGGCCUCUGAGGGCGCAGCGCCCAGGGUCUGGCGGAAGACCCUGAUGACAGUCGGGUCCCCAAGCCUCGGCCUCCAGUCUCCCCACGUCUCCAUGGCCAACACCGCUCUCCCCGGCUCGUGCCCUCCCCACUCCCUUCCGGCUGCCGGCGCGCCCUCCCUCCCUGGUGGCCCCGGCUCCUCUCACCCUCUGCUCCCACUUGUUGCAAUUGCUGUACAAAGGGCCGGGGCGGGGGUGGGGGGCGGGCGAGGGCAGCCGGGCCCGAACUGGCUGCCUCUGCCCGGCCACGGCCAA
rnacentral:lncRNA from 10 species